rnacentral:rRNA from 1 species
GACGAACGCUGGCGGCGUGCUUAACACAUGCAAGUCGAACGAAGUGGCGAACGGGUGAGUAACGCGUAAUCAACCUGCCCUUCAGAGGGGGACAACAGUUGGAAACGACUGCUAAUACCUCAUACUGAAGGAGGGGAUUGCGUCUGAUUAGCUAGUGGGAGGGGGAACGGCCCACCAAGGCGAUGAUCAGGAGACGGGCGGAGAGGAUGAACGGCCACAUGGGGACGGAGAAAAGGCCCAGACGCCUACGGGAGGCAGCAGUGGGGAAUCUUCCGAAAUGGAGGAAAGUCUGACGGAGCAACGCCGCGUGAGUGAUGACGGCCUUCGGGUUGUAAAGCUCUGUUAAUCGGGACGCGGUACCGGAAUAGAAAGCCACGGCUAACUACGUGCCAGCAGCCGCGGUAAUAC